AGGACGAACGCUGGCGGCGUGCUUAACACAUGCAAGUCGAACGGAAAGGCCCUUUCGGGGGUACUCGAGUGGCGAACGGGUGAGUAACACGUGGGUGAUCUGCCCUGCACUUUGGGAUAAGCCUGGGAAACUGGGUCUAAUACCGAAUACACCCUGCUGGUCGCAUGGCCUGGUGGGGGAAAGCUUUUGCGGUGUGGGAUGGGCCCGCGGCCUAUCAGCUUGUUGGUGGGGUGAUGGCCUACCAAGGCGACGACGGGUAGCCGGCCUGAGAGGGUGUCCGGCCACACUGGGACUGAGACACGGCCCAGACUCCUACGGGAGGCAGCAGUGGGGAAUAUUGGACAAUGGGGGAAACCCUGAUCCAGCGACGCCGCGUGUGUGAAGAAGGCCUGCGGGUUGUAAAGCACUUUUAGUGGGGAUGAAAAGCCUAGGGUUAACACCUCUGGGUCUUGACCUAACCACAGAAAAAGCACCGGCUAACUCUGUGCCAGCAGCCGC
rnacentral:rRNA from 1 species